GAGUAAAUUACUCUUUAAAAGAAAAAGAAUCCUAGAUAGUUUUCCCUUUAAGUCAAGUGUCUUGU
rnacentral:pre_miRNA from 1 species